GACGAACGCUGGCGGCAUGCCUAACGCAUGCAAGUCGAGCGAGCAGAUCCCUUCGGGGUGAAGCUAGCGGCGGACGGGUGAGUAACACGUGGGCAACCUGCCUCAUAGAGGGGAAUAGCCUUCCGAAAGGAAGAUUAAUACCGCAUAAGAUUGUAGCUUCGCAUGAAGUAGCAAUUAAAGGAGCAAUCCACUAUGAGAUGGGCCCGCGGCGCAUAGCUAGUUGGUGAAGUAACGGCUCACCAAGGCGACGAUGCGUAGCCGACCUGAGAGGGUGAACGGCCACAUUGGGACUGAGACACGGCCCCGACUCCUACGGGAGGCAGCAGUGGGGAAUAUUGCACAAUGGGGGAAACCCUGAUGCAGCAAUGCCGCGUGAGUGAUGACGGCCUUCGGGUUGUAAAGCUCUGUCUUCGGGGACGAUAAUGACGGUACCCGAGGAGGAAGCCACGGCUAACUACGUGCCAGCCGCCGCAGUAA
rnacentral:rRNA from 1 species